rnacentral:rRNA from 1 species
GUAGGUGGCAAGCGUUGUCCGGAAUUUAUUGGGCGUAAAGCGCGCGCAGGUGGUUCUUUAAGUCUGAUGUGAAAGCCCCCGGCUCCAACCGGGGGAGGGUCAUUGGAAACUGGGGGAACUUGAGUGCAGGGAGAGGAAAGUGGAAUUCCACGUGUAGCGGUGAAAUGCGUAGAUAUGUGGAGGAACACCAGUGGCGAAGGCGACUUUCUGGCCUGUAACUGACACUGAGGCGCGAAAGCGUGGGGAGCAAACAGGAUUAGAUACCCUGGUAGUCCACGCCGUAAAACGAUGAGUGCUAAGUGUUGGGGGGGUUUCCGCCCCUCAGUGCUGCAGCUAACGCAUUAAGCACUCCGCCUGGGGAGUACGGUCGCAAAGACUG